UACAAAGGGUGCAAGCGUUACUCGGAAUUACUGGGCGUAAAGCGUGCGCAGGCGGUUCGUUGUGUCCGUCGUGAAAGCCCCGGGCUUAACCUGGGAACUGCGAUGGAAACUAGCGAGCUGGAGUGUGGCAGAGGGGGGUGGAAUUCCGCGUGUAGCAGUGAAAUGCGUAGAGAUGCGGAGGAACACCGAUGGCGAAGGCAGCCCCCUGGGCUAACACUGACGCUCAGGCACGAAAGCGUGGGGAGCAAACAGG
rnacentral:rRNA from 1 species